AGUCACAUAACAUAGACCCGAAACCGGGUGAUCUAUCCAUGUGCAGGAUGAAGCGGCCGUAAAAGGCUGUGGAGGUCCGAACUCACAUCCGUUGAAAAGGGUGGAGAUGACGUGUGGAUAGGGGAGAAAUUCCAAUCGAACUCGGAGAUAGCUGGUUCUCCCCGAAAUAGCUUUAGGGCUAGCCCUGUAUCAUUCCUUCUGGAGGUAGAGCACUGAAUAUCCGCGGGGGCUUCACCGCUUACCAAAGAUUAUCAAACUCCGAAUGCCAGCAAGGAUAAGAACAGGAGUCAGACUGUACGAGAUAAGUUGGACAGUCAAAAGGGAAAGAGCCCAGAUCCACGGCUAAGGUCCCAAAGUACGUGUUAAGUGGAAAAGGAUGUGGGAUUUCACAGACAGCUAGGAUGUUGGCUCAGAAGCAGCCACACAUUCAAAGAGUGCGUAAUAGCUCACUAGCCGAGAGGUCCUGCGCCGAAAAUUACCGGGGCUGAAACACGACACCGAAGCCUGGGGAUCGGUAUCAUCUACGGGUGAUGCUGAUCGGUAGGGGAGCAUUUACAGCAGCGUCGAAGGCGUACCGAAAGGAGCGUUGGAGCGCUGUAAAGAGAGAAUGCCGGAAUGAGUAGCGAGAUGGAGGUGAGAAUCCUCCAGGCCGAAUAUCCAAGGAUUCCAGGGUAAAGCUGAUCUGCCCUGGGGAAGUCGGGACCUAAGGCGAGGCCUGAAGGCGUAGUCGAUGGACAGCAGGUUGAUAUUCCUGCACCUUGUGUUAUCAGAACUGCGGGGACGCAGGACAAAAGUGUGAGCCGGGAAAGGAAAGACCGGUCCCGCAAGGGGGAGCGAACUGAAAGUAGCGAAGCACAUGGACGUACUGCCAAGAAAAGCCGCUAUUGUGUAGCACAAGCCCGUACCGUAAACCGACACAGGUGGAUGAGGAGAGAAUCCUAAGGCCGGCGGGAGAAGCAUUGUUAAGGAACUCGGCAAAAUGUCCCCGUAACUUCGGGAUAAGGGGAGCCUGCGAGAGCAGGCCGCAGAGAAGAGGCUCAAGCAACUGUUUAGCAAAAACACAGGUCUAUGCGAAACCGAAAGGUGAGGUAUAUGGGCUGACGCCUGCCCGGUGCUGGAAGGUUAAGAGGAGAGGUUAGCGCAAGCGAAGCUUUGAAUUUAAGCCCCAGUAAACGGCGGCCGUAACUAUAACGGUCCUAAGGUAGCGAAAUUCCUUGUCGGGUAAGUUCCGACCCGCACGAAAGGCGUAAUGAUUUGAGCACUGUCUCGGCAAUGCACCCGGUGAAAUUGAAGUACCAGUGAAGAUGCUGGUUACCCGCGCCAGGACGGAAAGACCCCAUGGAGCUUUACUCCAGGUUGAUACUGGGAUUCGGUACUGUAUGUACAGGAUAGGUGGGAGAC
rnacentral:rRNA from 1 species